GACGAACGCUGGCGGCGUGCUUACCUCAUGCAAGUCGAGCGAUGAAGUUUCUUCGGAGAUGGAUUAGCGGCGAACGGGUGAGGAACACGUGAAAAAUCUGCCCUCCACUUUGGGAUAACUCCGGGAAACCGGGGCUAAUACCGAAUAUUGAAAUAUAAGUGGCAUCACUGAGUUUUGAAAGAAUUUUGGUGGAGGAUGACUUCGCGGCCUAUCAGCUAGUUGGUGAGGUAACGGCUCACCAAGGCAACGACGGGUAGCCGGCCUGAGAGGGCGACCGGCCACACUGGGACUGAGACACGGCCCAAACUCCUACGGGAGGCAGCAGUGGGGAAUAUUGGGCAAUGGACGCAAGUCUGACCCAGCGACGCCGCGGGCGGAAUGAAGGCCUUCGGGUUGUAAACCGCUUUCAGUAGGGAAGAAGCGAAAGUGACGGUACCUACAAAAGAAGC
rnacentral:rRNA from 1 species